GAACGCACCUUGCGCUCCCUGGUAUUCCGGGGAGCACGCCUGUUCGAGUGUCGUGAAAUUCUCAAGCUGGGAUUGGCUUUAUUGUCAGUCUUGGUUUGGAUUUGGACUUUGCCGUGUAAUGACGGCUAGUCUUAAAAGCAUUAGCUGAAUCUUGGUUAUGAGACUGGUUCUACUCAGCGUGAUAAUUAUCUGACCGCUGAGGACAUCUUUCGGGAUGGCCAGACUUGUCCUCGAGUCGCUUCUAAUCUGGUUUAAAGUGGGGGCUUAACUGUCUCUACUUUUCCGCUUUUUCAACUUUGACCUCGAAUCAGGCGGGACUACCCGCUGAACUUAAG
rnacentral:misc_RNA from 1 species